GAGGGCUAUUACAGACCUUGCAGUGUCCUGGGAUUUGCCUGGUGUGACAUCAGAAAACAGAAGAUGGCUGCUUGACAAACUGCUCAUUCAUGCAGUCCUUGAAAGAACCUCCAAGCAAGUAAAGCAGCUUCGGCGGGGUUUGAAGGAAACAUUGAUCCGGCCUUUGCUAACUGAGAGGAAAGACACUGUUCCUCUUCUCUUUCCUAGGACUUGUGAUACAGUGUACACCCCACUGAUGGUUCUAGAGAGGAUACUUUGGCCAACACAUGAUGAAGACUGCGAGGCCUCUCUUGAAGACACAUGUAGGCUAACCGGAUUCCUUCGCACCUUCAUUG